rnacentral:rRNA from 1 species
GAUGAACGCUGGCGGCGUGCCUAAUACAUGCAAGUCGAGCGAACAGACGAGAGUGCUUGCACUCUCUGACGUUAGCGGCGGACGGGUGAGUAACACGUGGGUAACCUACCUAUAAGACUGGGAUAACUUCGGGAAACCGGAGCUAAUACCGGAUAAUAUUUAGCUUCGCAUGAAGCAAUAGUGAAAGACGGUUCUGCUGUCACUUAUAGAUGGACCCGCGGUGUAUUAGCUAGUUGGUGAGGUAACGGCUCACCAAGGCAACGAUACAUAGCCGACCUGAGAGGGUGAUCGGCCACACUGGGACUGAGACACGGCCCAGACUCCUACGGGAGGCAGCAGUAGGGAAUCUUCCGCAAUGGACGAAAGUCUGACGGAGCAAUGCCGCGUGAGUGAAGAAGGUUUUCGGAUCGUAAAACUCUGUUGUAAGGGAAGAACAAGUACGUUGGUAACUGAACGUACCUUGACGGUACCUUACCAGAAAGCCACGGCUAACUACGUG